GUGAGGUUGUCGAAUUUUAAUUACAAAGAAAUCAAGUCUAUUAUGAAUAUUAAUUCAAUUAAGCAUUUGAUUAAGAAAAAUAAAAGGAAAAGCAACUUGGGUUACAAGCCAAGGUUUAUUAAGAAAAUAUUUUUGGAGUUUUGCAUGUUUUUGUUGUUUUUGAAUAAUAAAUGAAAAUUAAACUAACGGAGCAAUAAAAAUAAAAGCGCGUGGAUUUUUGUAGUGACGUUGGAUCACCACAAAAUCCCUAAUCUAAUUUUUUUUGCAUUUUUUGGAUAUAUCUAAGGCGGUAAGGAAAUAAAAGGACACACACACCCACACACUUUUCUCAUUUAUAUUUACAUUGGACCUAAAUACAUUCUAAUUGCUGGAAAAUAAAUAACAAUAAUUAAAAUGCUAAAUAGAAAUAAAAUAAAAAUGUAAAAAUGCUAAAAAGAAAUAAAAAUGCAAGAAAAUAAAAGAAAUGGGCUACCGAAGGGACAAAAUUCCGAAGGGACUUUUCCGAAGGGACUUAUUCCGAAGGGACAGAAAAAAAAGGGAGAAGAAAAGAAUAGCUCGUUAACACAAGCUAAAUAGGGAGAAGAGAGAAAAGUUCUUUGACAACUCAAGAGAACUUUUUGGUGUGUCAAAUUGUGUGAAAUGAGGGCUCUAUUUAUAGGUGAGGAGGUUGAUGAAAAAAGGAAAAAUGGUUUAAUGGAAAUGAAGGACAAUUAUGGUGAAUUUUGAAAAAGGAAUGUUAAAGUUGACACUUGACUUGAAAUUUUUUUUAGACCUUGUACAUUUUAUUUUGGACCUAUUGACACUUUGUUUUUUUUUUGACACUAAUUAAUUAAAAAGAAAUAAAAUAAAUCUAAUACGAAAUAAAAUAAAAUAAAUCUAAUACGAAAUAAAAUAAAACAAAUUAAACUAAAAGAUGGAAAAUAAAAAUUAUUAAGUAUAAAAAAAGUAACUAAUCUUAAAAUUAAAAUUAAUAAAAGAUGGAAAGAAAAUAAAAAGAGAAAAGAGAGUCCGACUCGGAAUCAAAAAUGAGGUACUUCAAAGUAACCUCUUUGCCAAAAUUUCGUCUGAAACGACGAAAAUUCCCGACUUUAAAAAUACAAAUAAAAUGGGUAAGAAUAGAGAAAAGUGGUCAAAAUUUGGGGUAUGACAGAUGCCCCUAUUUAAGUUUCUCCGUCACGGAGAUUUAAAAAAAAUGAAAAUUUUAAAUCAACGGGUCGAAGAGACUUAAAUACUAAGUACACCAAUUUUUGACCAGUUGAAAUGCUGAGAAUGCAAUGCUUAUGAAUAUACUGGUAUGAAUGUCUGCGAUGCAAGUAUGAAUGCAAGGACGACAAAAAUACAUUGACUGGGGAAAAAACUGAUAGAUAUCACUGGGGAGG
rnacentral:lncRNA from 1 species